UACGUAGGGGGCAAGCGUUGUCCGGAUUAUUGGGCGUAAAGAGCUCGUAGGCGGCUUGUCACGUCGAUUGUGAAAGCCCGAGGCUUAACCUCGGGUCUGCAGUCGAUACGGGCUAGCUAGAGUGUGGUAGGGGAGAUCGGAAUUCCUGGUGUAGCGGUGAAAUGCGCAGAUAUCAGGAGGAACACCGGUGGCGAAGGCGGGUCUCUGGGCCGUAACUGACGCUGAGGAGCGAAA
rnacentral:rRNA from 1 species